rnacentral:sRNA from 1 species
GCCAGGGGUGGUGUGAUGCAUGCCUGUAAUUCCAGCAACUCAGGAGGCUGAGGCAGGAGGAUCACAAGUUUGAGGACUAUCUUGGCAACUUAGUUAUACCCUGUCUCAA